AACGAACGCUGGCGGCAGGCUUAACACAUGCAAGUCGAGCGCCCCGCAAGGGGAGCGGCAGACGGGUGAGUAACGCGUGGGAAUCUACCCAUCACUACGGAACAACUCCGGGAAACUGGAGUUAAUACCGUAUAUGCCCUACGGGGGAAAGAUUUAUCGGGGUUUGAUGAGCCCGCGUUGGAUUAGCUAGUUGGUGGGGUAAAGGCCUACCAAGGCGACGAUCCAUAGCUGGUCUGAGAGGAUGAUCAGCCACAUUGGGACUGAGACACGGCCCAAACUCCUACGGGAGGCAGCAGUGGGGAAUAUUGGACAAUGGGCGCAAGCCUGAUCCAGCCAUGCCGCGUGAGUGAUGAAGGUCUUAGGAUUGUAAAGCUCUUUCACCGGUGAAGAUAAUGACGGUAACCGGAGAAGAGGCCCCGGCUAACUUCGUGCCAGCAGCCGCCGUAACAC
rnacentral:rRNA from 1 species